rnacentral:lncRNA from 10 species
GGCCAAGGUGGGUGGAUCACCUGAAGUCAGGAGUUUGACACCAGCCUGGACAACAUGAUGAAACUUCGUCUCUACAAAAAAAAAAAAUACACAAAAUUAGCUGAGCUUGGUGGUGCAUGCCUGUGAUCCCAGCUACUCGGGAGGCUGAAGCAGGAGAAUCACUUGAACCUGGGAGGUGGAGGUUGCAGUGAGUGGAGAUUGUUCCACUGCAUUCCAGCCUGGGGAACAAAGUGAGACUUCAUCCCAAAAAAAAAAAAAAAAAAAAAUUCUUAUUGCUUCUUUCAGUGAUUUCCCUUUUUUUUUUUUCUAUUCUCUCAUUCUAGAAUGCCUUGUAGCUGGAUAUUGAAGCUUUUUGCUUAUCUCAUACAUUAUUUAAUUUACAUCCUUUCCAGCACUUUUCUUUUUAGGCUGAAUUCUGUGAAACAUUCCUUGGCUUAGUCUUUGAGAUCUUUCUUCUUUUUGAAUUUGAGUAGUUACUGCUAUGAGUUGCCUUCUUUUCACUACUUUCACUGUAUCUGUCCAUUCAGGCUGCUAUAACAAAAUACCAUAGACUGGUGGUUAAUAAACAACAUAAAUUUAUUUCUCCGAGUUCUGGAGAUUAGGUCAAAGCUCAAGGUACAGUCAGAUUCAGUGUCAGAUGAGGGCCCUUUUCCUGGUUCACAGAGAGCCAUCUUCUUGAAGUAACCAAAUACAGUAGAAGUGGCAUGAAAUAUCUUUGGGGUGUCUUCCAUGAGGGGGGUAAUCCCAUUCUGCAGAGCCCUCAUGACUUCAUCAUGUCCCAAAAUUCCCAGCUCCUAAUACAAUCACUUUGGGAGUUAAGAUGUCAACAUACGCAAGUUGAGGAGACAAAAUUUAUUUAUUUAUUUAUUUAUUUAUUUAUUUAUUUAUUUAUUUAUUUUUGACAUGGAGUCUCACUCUGUCACCCAGGCUGGAAUGCAGUGGUGUGAUCUUGGCUCACUGCAAGCUCUGCCUCCCAGGUUCACACCAUUCUCCUGCCUCAGCCUCCUGGAUAACUGGGACUACAGGCACCCAGCACCACACUGGGCUGAUUUUUUUUUUUUUUUUAAGUAGAGACAGGGUUUCACCACCUUAGCCAGGAUGGUCUCAAUCUCCUGACCUUGUGAUCCACCCACCUUGGCCUCCCAAAGUGCUGGGAUUACAGGUGUGAGCCACCGUGCCCAGCCUAGGAGACAAAAUUUAGACUACAGCAACAUCUCAUAAAUUUUGGUAUGCCAUGUCUUUGUUUUCAUUUGUCUCAAGAUGUUUUCUAAUUUACCUUGUGAAUUCUUGCUUCACCCAUUGAUAGAUCAGGAGUGUGUUGCUUACAAUAAAAUGUAUUUGUGAAUUUUCCAGUUUUCCUUGUUUUUCAUUUCUUGUUUCAUUCUAUGUGACUUGAAAUGGUACUUUGUGUUUCAGUCUUUUACAUUUCAUUAAGAUUUGUUUUGUGGCCUAACACAUGGUUUCUCCUGGAAACUAUUCCACAUAUGCUUGAGAAAAAUGUGUUCUCUUCUGUUGUGGGGUGGGUUGUGCCAACUGUUAUAUAGUACUUGUCCUGUUUCCUUCUUGAUAUUAUCGUGGCUGUUCUACCUAUUAAAUUGAAAGUGGUAUAAUGAGGUCUCCAAUUGUUAUGCAGAAUUGUCUAUUUUUCCCUUUAAUUUUGCCAAUAUUUACUUCAUGUAUUUUAAGCUCUGAUGUUUGAUACAUAUAAUUUUUUUAUCUUCUUGAUGAAUUUUACCUUCUAUCAGUAUAUACUCUCAUUCACUCUCUCUUCUAUCAGUUUUUUACUUCAAGUUUACUUUGUCUGAUAUUAAUAUAUCCAGGCAAAUUCUCUUUAGGUUACUAUUUACAUGGAAUGAUCUUUUUCCAUUAUUUAACUUUCAACCUUUUUUGUCUUUAGAUCUAAAGCGAAGGAUGGCCAGGCGUGAUGGCUCAUGCCUGUAAUCCUAGCACUUUGGGAGGCUGAGGUGAGCAGAUCACCUGAAGUCAGGAGUUUGAGACAGCCUGGUCAACAUGGCAAAACCCUGUCUCUACUAAUACUACAAAAAUUAGCUGGGCAUGGUGGUGGGUGCCUGUAAUCCUAUCUACUCAGGAGGCUGAGGCAGAGAGAAUUUCUGGAAGCCAGGAGGUGAAGGUUGCAGUGAGCCGGGAUCUUGCCAUUGCACUCCAGCCUGGGCGACAGAGCGAGACUCUGUCUUAAAAAAAAAAAAAAAAAAAAAAAGCAAAGGGCAACAUACAGUUGGAUUGUGUAUUUUAAUCCAUUUUGCCAAAUUAUGCCAUUAGAUUGGAGAAGUUAUCCCAUUUACCCUUCAUAUAAUUACCAAUAAAAAAGACUCAUUUUGCCACUUUGUUACUCUUUUUCUGUAUGUCUUACAGCUUUUUGGUCCCUCAUUUCCUACAUUACUGCCUUUUUUGUUGAUUUGUUUUUUUAGUGACAUCUUUUUUUCGUCUCAUUUUGUGUAUAUUCCAUUGAUAUUUUAUAUGUAGUUACCAUGGGGAUUUUUUUUUCUUUUUUUGAGAUGGAGUAUCACUCUUGUUGCCCAGGCUGGAGUCCAAUGGUGCGAUUUCGAGUCACUGCAACCUCCACCUCCCAGGUUCAAGCAAUCCUCCUGCCUCAGCCUCUCAAGUAGCUGGGACUACAGGCAUGCACCACCACACCCAGCUAAUUUUUGUAUUUUUAGUAGAGACGGGGUUUCACCAUGUUAGCCAGGCUGGUUUCAAUCUCUUGACCUUGUGAUCCACACACCUCAGCCUCCCAAAGUGCUGGAAUUAGAAGCAUGGCCUGGUGACCACGGGGAUUAAAUAUAACAUCCUAACAUCCACUGUACAGUCCACUGUCCAGUCCUCACUCCUCCCACAUGCUGUUCUUACUAAAAUAUAGAAAAAAUUCUACUAGGGGGAAUUUUAAAAGCAAUUAAACUUUUCAACCACAGAAAAUUUACUGUCCAUGACAAGUCGUCAUGGACAGUAAGACACAUAGAAAGGCAAUCUCAUUUUCAUGUCAUUUAUUUCAAUUUCUCCUCUAGUAUGAUCUUGUGUACAGUAACAGUAGUAUCUGAAAGCUUCCCAUAACUCCUCAGAUUCAUAGUUUAUUCUUCCAGUGAGUAUUUUCAGAGGCACUUAAGGAAUAUGUACUGCUAAAAGUAUUACCAGGCCGGGCGCGGUGGCUCACGCCUGUAAUCCCAGCACUUUGGGAGGCCGAAGCGGGCGGAUCACAAGGUCAGGAGAUCGAGACCAUCCCGGCUAAAACGGUGAAACCCCGUCUCUACUAAAAAUACAAAAAA